AGUUUGACUGGGGCGGUCUCCUCCCAAAGAGUAACGGAGGAGCACGAAGGUGGGCUAAUCACGGUUGGACAUCGUGAGGUUAGUGCAAUGGCAUAAGCCCGCUUAACUGCGAGAAUGACGGUUCGAGCAGGUGCGAAAGCAGGUCAUAGUGAUCCGGUGGUUCUGUAUGGAAGGGCCAUCGCUCAACGGAUAAAAGGUACUCCGGGGAUAACAGGCUGAUACCGCCCAAGAGUUCAUAUCGACGGCGGUGUUUGGCACCUCGAUGUCGGCUCAUCACAUCCUGGGGCUGAAGUCGGUCCCAAGGGUAUGGCUGUUCGCCAUUUAAAGUGGUACGCGAGCUGGGUUUAGAACGUCGUGAGACAGUUCGGUCCCUAUCUGCCGUGGGCGUUGGAAGAUUGAAGGGGGCUGCUCCUAGUACGAGAGGACCGGAGUGGACGAACCUCUGGUGUUCGGGUUGUGUCGCCAGACGCAUUGCCCGGUAGCUAAGUUCGGAAUUGAUAAGCGCU
rnacentral:rRNA from 1 species